rnacentral:lncRNA from 1 species
UUGAGAUUCUCUACACCGGAAGGUUUCUAUCUGUCCCAAGAAAAGUACAUCCACGAUCUUCUUGAUCGUGCUGCUCUCACUGAUCAUCGAACAGUUGAGAUUCCCAUAGAACUAAAUUUUCACCUUUGUGCCACUAAUGGUGAGCCUCUCUCUGAUCCCACUCGCUAUCGUCAUAUUGUGGGUAGUCUGGUUUAUCUUGGUGUCACUCAUCCUGGCAUCUCACACUCUGUGCAUAUCCCAAGUCAAUUUGUUUUAGCUCCUACACAGCUUCAUUAUUCUCACUUCGUGUUCUGCAUUAUCUUCGUAGGACUAUAGCUCGUCGUUUAUUCUUUCCACACUCUAGCUCUUUACAGCUUCAGGCAUAUAGUGAUGCUCCUUGGGCCAGCGAUUCCUCCGAUCGUCGGUCUCUUUCUGCCUUUUAUGUUUUCUUGGUGGCUCUCUUAUUUCUUGGAAAAGCAAGAAGCAAACGACAGUUUCUCAUUCGAGUGCAGAGGCUAAGUUGUGUGCUAUAGCUCUUGUGACAGCAGAGGUUACAUGGUUACGGUGGUGUUCACGCUGAAAAUGACAAUCAAUAGUCAGACACGUAGGCCCGGGAAUCAAUCUUAGACCACUCCAGUACAAGACCGAAUUCUUAGAAAUGCUGGGCGCACCAAUCUGUUUGAUCCUGUAACGGACAAGAUAUAACAUAGAAAACAGUUAAUUCCCGAAAUCGCUAUCAGCCGGACAGCCGAUACCGUCCUAGGACCGUAGCCGAUGAACUAAACGAUCGGCUUUACAGGAAAUUCAUGGUAGCAGGCAUAAAUGUGCUCAAUCGGCUGAAUCGAAAGCAGGAUAAAUACCAAUCGGACCAACCAACCAAUUAAUCUUAAAAGAUGCUAGUCCAUGUCGGACAUGAUUCCUAAUAGAUAAAAAGAAAUAACAAACUUUAUCUCUUAACACGACACGGUUUCUAAUAGAUAAAAGAAAACAAACAAGUCCCGAUUGGACUCUAAUCUCUUAGAGAUGAAAUCCUAACUAACUCUAACUACUAGAUAAAAUUACGCCGCCAAGCCUUGUUCUUCAACGAUUCCCUGUUGAAUUCGAACUCUUCUGGAUAAAAUUUCUAUCGGCGAUUGCACCUUUCCCUAUCCGAAUCCAAUAAGGAAAUCUACAAAUUUUGGUGUUAACAGGUGGUUGCUUGAGGAUUUUGGUGUUUCUGUCAAGAACACUGAGUUUGGAGAGAUAGAAUCUGUCUAGCGACAGUCUGUGCCUUUGUAAAUAAAUCAGCCAACUGAAUCUCCGACGGCACAUAUUGAGGAGCAACAAUUCCAUCUUUACUUGUGCUCGUGUAUAAAAAGCAUCAACAGCAACAUGCUUACUGAGCUCAUGCUACACCGGAUAACCAAGUAACCUCUGCUGUCACAAGAGAGGAGUUGUCAUAGAAAUAGACACCAAAAUCCUCAAGCAACCACCAUAACCAAGUAACCUCUGCUGUCACAAGAGUCAUAGAACGCAACUCAGACUCUGUACUCGAACGAGAAACUGUUGUCUGCUUCUUAGUUUUCCAAGAAAUGAGAGAACCACCAAGAAACACACAAAAAGCAGAAAGAGAUCAACGAUGAGAGGAAUCACUAGCCUAGGUAGCAUCACAAUUGGCCUAGAUAGCAUCACUAGCCUAGGUAGCAUCAACGACGAGAUAUAGUCCCACGAAGAUUGCGUAGAACGCGAAGCAGAUGAGUAUUGUGAGGAGCAGAAACAAAUAGACUCGGGAUAUGUACAGCGUGCGAGAUAUCAGGACGAGUGACACCAAGAUAAACAACUCCCCACAAUAUGACGACAGCGAGUAGGAUUAGAAAGAGCACCAUCAGUGAGGCUUAGAUGUACAUUGAGCUCCGCAAGAGUGAUUAUGAAGAUCACUAAGAGAUGCAUGAUCAAGAAGGGAUCGAAUGUAUUUCUCUUGAUAGAGAUAGAACCCUUCGAAUGUAGAGUAAAUUUCAAUCCCAAGAAAGUAACGAAGACGACCAGGAUCAGUCAUCAGAAACUGCUCACUAAGACAACCAAGAUCAGUUGAGUCUGCUUGCCUAGCCGACACCCGUGACAUUGAUCUAAAGACUUAUGACCAGAAACAGACCCUAAAAAGACCAUGACGAAUCAUAGUGGAUAAGCGAGAGCCACAAAUAUGACCCAAGCGAUGAUACCACUGAGCAAAAGAUGAGGUUGACACAACAGAAGGAAGAUGAAGCCAGUCGAGCUCCUAGAGACGCUGAGAAUCACACGAUAACAAAAGUCAGGAUCAAGAAUCACACAAUAGUCAUGAUCAGUGAGUUGACCAGCAAACAUAAGUUGCAUGGUUAGAUCAGGAACAUAAGAAACAUCACAAACAGAAAAAAAAGGGCAGAUGAAAGAACACCCUACCCGAUAACGGGAAGAGGAGACCCAUCAGCUGUAUGAAAGGAAGAUCGAGAUGGGGGAACCAAGGAAGAAAGACAGGUAUGAUGGGGAGUCAUAUGGAAAGAAGCACCAGAAUCAAGGAUCCAAGGACAACUACCUGGUUCAGGAGAGGAACCAGCAAUAGAAGACUGGGAAGUAGCAGCAGAACCUGGUAGUACAGAAGGCUGAGUCACCGAACCAACAGGUCCUGGUGAAGAAGAGGCGACGAGGCGACCGAGAAGCCUGAGAAUCUCCUGUGCAUCAGAUCCACUAGAACUGCUCCGAGAACCUUUAGUACUGUAACCAUCAGAAGCCUGUGAAGAACGGCGAGCACGAGUUUUCUGGUCCUUCCUCUUUUUAAAACAAUAGGAUUCCACAUGGCUGGCUUUGUCGCAAUACUUGCAAUGAAGACAACUCCCCCCUCCAGUGUCAGAAGAAGGCUUCCUAGAUGUAGGGACCACUGGUAGAGGAGUAGAACGAGAAGACGAAGAACGAGCAGCAAAGAUAAGUCUCCUCAUUACGAACCUCAGCAAGAGCAUCCAACAAAGAGACACAUGGGUGACGAGCAAGUAACUGAGCACGAAGAGGCUCAAUCUCGACACAAAGAUGAGUCAAGAAGUCGUAUGUACGACGUAGCUCAGGAGCAGCGUCCUUUUGGCUCUUACAGGACUCACCAGUAGCAGGCGAUAACUAGGCACCAAGAGUGUCAAGUUGACGCCAAAUAGAAAAAAUCUGAGCAUAGAAAUCAUGCACUGUACUAUCUCCUUGAAGAACCAACUGCUCCUAGCGAAUAACAGCAAGAUAAGUCGACUGUCCAAAGGGCUCAUAGCGCUCACGAAGAAAAGUCCACAUUGGAUGUGUAUACUCAAGCUCAACAAUAUCAGCGGAAAUCAGAUCCUCCAUACUAGCAACAAGAAUGGCAGCAACACGAGCAUCCUCAUCAAUCCAUGUCCUGUAGGCUGCAUAGGACGAGUCAUAAGUGACCAAGCGAUCAUAUUCGGCAUGCAAAUGCUCAACACGCUCAUCAUAUUCCUUGAGCAAACGAGUGAACUCUGUCUUCUGGUCAGCAGUAGCAUUCGCCGGAAGAACAGGCUCCUGUGGAAGUAGAGGCUGCGAAGGAGCAGUAGGACGAGGUGGACAAGGAAGAUCACCAGUCAAAAACUCCCAAAGACGCACUCCACGCAUAUGAAUCCGAAGACAAGGAACCCAAUCGCGAAAGUUAGUGCCAUUGAAAAGCACUGGACAAUGAAGAAGAGCAACGCCACUAGAAUCUUGCGAAGGAGCCAUGGCGCUGAUUUGAGCGUAGUUUUUUUUGGAAACUAAAAAAUCGGUUUAAGAAACCGAAAACAGCCUAGCCUCAUAUCCAAUCCGGCCCGGAUCAGAUCGGGGGAGAGGGGGGCGGCGACCCCAGUAGUGGCGACGGACAGCCGUGAGAGGGGACGACGGGGGCGCACNNNNNNNNNNNNNNNNNNNNNNNNNNNNNNNNNNNNNNNNNNNNNNNNNNNNNNNNNNNNNNNNNNNNNNNNNNNNNNNNNNNNNNNNNNNNNNNNNNNNNNNNNNNNNNNNNNNNNNNNNNNNNNNNNNNNNNNNNNNNGCUCGGCGAGGGGGUGGCACACCUCGUGACCCCAGCGGCAGCGGCCAGCCCGGCCCACCGGUGACGAAGGCGAGCGAGCGCAUGGAGGAGGCGGUGGCUUCUAGGCUCUAGUGGCGGUGACCGUGCAAAGGAGGCGACGACGCUCAGCUCCGGCGGUGGUGGCGCAAAGUAGGCAGAGCGUGGCUCCGACGCACAGCCCUUGACCAAGAAGAGCGCAGCGGCUCAGGCAAUGGUGGCGUGGCGUGCAAGUGCAACACGCAAAAGAAAACUCAGGUUUUGCUCUAAUACCAUGUUAUGAAUAGCACACUUGUAUUUAUAUGAGGGCACUAGGCCCAAAUAUAUACAUGUACAAGAUGAGUACAUAAGGAAACUAUACAAAUAGGAACAAGAGCAGGAAUAGGGAACAAGAGUAGGAAUAGGACUACGAGUACGAAUAGGAAUACAUCUACACUUGACAAUUAGUAGUGCUCUAUCCUAUUUCUUCUCUAACCCUUUAAGCAACAAAAAGAAAACGCUCAUUCCUAGCAGUACAGAACUGCAUUGGGAUACUUCACCUGUAUAUAUUUUACAAAUCAAAUACCAAUUGCUUCUAUUUCCAUAGUUCCCUACUAAUCAUGGUUGUUGGUAGCUAGCAGAAUACAAAAUAAAAUUUUGUAGAACUUGAUGCACAUAGGUUGAGACAGCUACAUCUCAUUUCUAUGCACAGAUGUAAUGGGCCUGGAGGUGGUACAGCUACAACUCAUUCUUUUUCCUAACCAUGCAUCAGAAAACCAUCCAAACCCAUCAACACACAAACCAGCUAGCGGAUAGCUAUAUCUCAGUACUUCAAUUUUGAACCACAACAUUUUAAUUCCAUACUAAAAACUUGACAGAAGCAAUUAAAGGACAUAUCAAAAAUAUUACAAACUGGUUUCACCUUACCUGUAGGUAGCUGCAGCAAGCUUUAGUGAC